rnacentral:lncRNA from 1 species
AUAAUAUUAAUCUAAAAUACAUACAUAUGUAAAAUUUUGUAGUUAUCAAGAAUAACUUUAACAAUAAUAAAUACAAGUACAAAAUAUGGCAACAAACAAAUAAAUAUAACAUAUUACCAGAAAUCCUCAUCAUUACAUACUAUGUAUGAUAGGUUCAAUUCUGUUCUAUACAAAUCAAAACUUUCCAUACUUUUCUCAUAUUCAGACUAGACUAUAUAAUCUUAUUUAUUUUUCGCCUUAAGUCUUAAUCAAACAACAACAAUCUUUAUUCUUAUCUAAAAAUUCAUUAUUGUCUCAUUUAACACGUUUAAGGGGGUAGACCUUGGUUCAGGGAGAUAACUCUUUAAAUCAGUUAUGCGUUUGUAAAAGUCAAGUUUCAUCAAUGUAUUUUAAGCAUUUACCUGAAACAGAUUGAAAAUAGUCUAUGUAACCUAGAAGCUUAGAAUAUAUUUUUGAAAAUGGUUGACACAAACGUAUGGAUGAUUUGAAGAGUUAUUUCCCUUAACCUAGGUCUACCUCCUUAAGCCAAAAAUAUAUUAUUUUUUCAAUGUAGAUUUAUCAUUGAUCAUGGGAUACCAAUCCAUGUAAUAAUAUAAUGAGAUAUCUCGGUUAAAUUAUAAAACAGGUUCAUCAAGUGAAAAUAAAGAUUGGUCCAACUCUUACUGCUAUAAUUUCAAACUAGUUGAUCAAAACAUAAAAAUAAGGGGAUAGGGUAUGAUACCUAAUGAGAAAACUAUGCACAGGAGUCCUAAUGAUGUUGAUGUAUGCAACAAUGAGUCACUGCAUGACCUUCAAUAAUGUGUAACCCAUACUGUUAAAUCACGUUUAAAAUGCUCAACAUGAAAUUUUAACAAGAAAACCAACCUUAGAAGGUUCAUAAAAUUUCUCAAACUUUUUACUCUUUUUUUAGUGAUGCCUCUCAACUUUCCAAAACUUAGCAUAAAAUAUUUCAAACAGUAACCAUAAUAUUUCUACAAAAUUUACAUUAUAAAUAUGAUUAUAAUGCAGUGUUUUAAAAUUCUUGUUAUUUUUAAUACAUUGAAUAAUACUUAAAUAUUUUUUCCCAUAUGAAUAUUUUAGAUACCAAUUCCUUUUGAUAAAAAAAUUCCGAAAUUUUAAAAAUC